rnacentral:rRNA from 1 species
UACGAAGGUGGCAAGCGUUAUUCGAAAUCACUGGGCUUAAAGGGCGCGUAGGCGGGAACGAAAGUGUCUUGUGAAAUCCCUCAGCUUAACUGGGGAAUGGCUCGGCAAACUACGUUUCUUGAGGCAAGCAGGGGUGUGUGGAACUCUUGGUGGAGCGGUGGAAUGCGUAGAUAUCAAGAGGAACGCCGAAGGUGAAAACAGCACACUGGGCUUGUACUGACGCUGAGGCGCGAAAGCGUGGGGAGCAAACAGG